rnacentral:rRNA from 1 species
UGGGGAAUAUUGCACAAUGGGCGCAAGCCUGAUGCAGCCAUGCCGCGUGUAUGAAGAAGGCCUUCGGGUUGUAAAGUACUUUCAGCGGGGAGGAAGGGAGUAAAGUUAAUACCUUUGCUCAUUGACGUUACCCGCAGAAGAAGCACCGGCUAACUCCGUGCCAGCAGCCGCGGUAAUACGGAGGGUGCAAGCGUUAAUCAGAAUUACUGGGCGUAAAGCGCACGCAGGCGGUUUGUUAAGUCGGAUGUGAAAUCCCCGGGCUCAACCUGGGAACUGCAUUCGAAACUGGCAGGCUAGAGUCUUGUAGAGGGGGGUAGAAUUCCAGGUGUAGCGGUGAAAUGCGUAGAGAUCUGGAGGAAUACCGGUGGCGAAGGCGGCCCCCUGGACAAAGACUGACGCUCAGGUGCGAAAGCGUGGGGAGCAAACAGG